AUACUUACCUGGCACAGAAGACACUGCUAUCACUAAGGCAAUUCUCCCAGGCUGAGGCUCACCAUUGCACUAGGGUAGUGCUGACUCCUGUGAUUAACCCAACAGUAAUUAAUCAAGUGUUUAUUUUUUUUCUCGCUUUCAUCUGUAUUCCAUGGAACGC